ensembl:lncRNA
CUCCAAACUGAAAGCAUUGGUUGAGCGAAUUGUCAUGUCAGAACAGUCAAGAAAACCAUGAUACUUAAACCAUUAAACUGAGAAAAUAUAUUAAAUAAGGCUUUGAAGGAAGGUCACGGUGACAUGUUGCUCGGAGAAAAACACAAUGAGUGCCUGGCAAAAGCCUCUGAGCAUGUGUUGGUCAGAAGUCGAUUGCGUUAUUGCAGCCAUCAAUCACUAGUCUGUGGUGUAUAAAAAUAGGUCCAGGUUGCCAAAUAGCAAAAACUGGUAAUGUCUUGUCAUGCUCACUGCCCACUGUCACUCUCUCUCUAAAAUAAGCUUGAGCUUAAUUCACUGCUCAGUAAAAAAUCAAGGUUUCAGUAGAGCUUCUGCUGCUCUCCUCUCUCUUCCUGGGUGCAAAAGAUGUUAUGAACUGUUAUGUACAGAAAAUGAAACUCAUACAGGUCCGGAACAACUUCAGGACAAAACAGAUAUUUGCUGACAGGAUCUGGCAUCCGGGCCUGGAUCUGAUCAUUCUGGUGUGGAGGUAUGAUCUAACACAAUCCUACUUGAGGAUGUGAAGAUGAAGAGAACACAAGUCAGAGAAAAGAAGAUAAAUGAAGAAGAAGAGAAAAGGUGGGACAAAGCAGAGCCUUUUGAAGAAAUAAAAGCAGAUACUGAGUUACCGGAGGAGUACUAUCAUGGGCUUGAGGAUUUACCCUGGAACCUGAACUUACUGGAGCAUUUACUGUAUAUCAGCAUGCCAGCUUGGAUACAAAGAGCUCUGCUUUGUAAUUUAAUUGAGCGGUUUGGCAUCUGGACCUUUCACAACAACAUCCUGCCGUGUCGUCUCAUUUCCUACACCCUACUGCCGUACACUCUGCCUGCUUCAGCUGUCAUCUCAUUCAUCUAUAGGUUUUUAUGCUGGGUGGAGAAAAUUCCCCACCAGGCUCUGAAUGCAGGCAGGGAAUUCAAACAGGAAGUGAUGGCACAUCUGUGGUUAGUCUUUACACACUUGAGAGGACUUUUGCCAAACAGAUUCCUGCUUUUGCAAAUUCCAACUUUGCACCCCACUCUUGCUCUGUUUCUUCCACCCUGGUCCUGUUUCCCAUCUCUUUCUUUUACAUUCCUUCCUUGGUCCUCUUUCCCUUUACCUUCUCUUGCUUUGCAUUUUCUGCCACGGUGUCUAUCCACUUCAACCUCAAAGAAGCAGCUGGAGCUCAGGAGCCAGACUCAGCCUCUCUGGUCUAGACAACGAUCUCUCCUCUGCUUCCAGCUCACCGGAUCUGGCGGUUUCUCCAAAAAGACAGCUGACAUCCUUACAGAUGCAGAGCCACUAUCUUCAGCCUUCCUCCUGCAGCUCAACUUAAAGUUAGAAAUGGGCAGCCAUCCUGAACCACUACAGCUUCAGAAGGACCGACUUGAUUGUGAGGGAAGUUUAUUACUGAACACAGAAGUAGAUGACAAUCUCUCUUCUCCUUUUAUUUCUGACAUGGAUGUACAAGAGGAAGACUGAAUGACUUGUUAUGAAUGUUAUAUUACAAACAGAAGUCUCUACUGCAGAAUAGUUGAAUAUGCGGUGUAUUCUCUGAAUAUGCCAAUGUAUACAUAUCAGUGUUGUUAUUAUAAUUAAUUGAAAACUGAAAUAACAAAUUUUAGAUAAACCUAACAAGAACAAAAAAAAAAAAGAGAAAUGUUGAUUUGAGAAUUAAAGGAAAAUAAGUUACUAAAGUACGAAAAUUACUAAAACAAAAGCUAUAAAGAAAUAAUAAUAAUAAUAAAAAUCCAAUAAAAAUGACUGAAUGUAGUAAGAAUUUAGUAAAAAUAUAAUAAACAUGCCACAGUGAUAUUUUGUUUUAUGAAUGUGAGACUGUUAUAAUCUAAUAAAUGCAUUAUCAGGUGGGAUUGGGACAGACUGAUUUCACUGUGCAUAUUGUUUAUUAAAAAGAAAAAUGAUUAAAUUAAGGAUGGAUCAAAUAGAUCAAUGAAAAUAACAUUGCACAAUUUAGCAUUAAACUAGGCUAUAUCAGCCAAUAGCUGGCUGUAAUUUAUUUAUUUUUUUUUGGUCAUUCCUAACUAAAUUUGCUAUGCUCAUUAUUUAAAAUCAUUAAUAAUUUAAAUUGAUAAUUAUUUGGUAUUAAAAAA